rnacentral:rRNA from 1 species
GACGAACGCUGGCGGCGUGCCUAACACAUGCAAGUCGAACGAGGUCCAAGGAAGCUUGCUUCCUGAAGACCUAGUGGCGAACGGGUGAGUAACACGUGAGAAACCUGCCUCGGAGUGGGGAAUAACUCGGGGAAACUCGAGCUAAUACCGCAUACCUUCACAUGAUCGCAUGGUCGAGUGAAGAAAGAUUUCGCUCUGAGAGGGUCUCGCGGCCCUAUCAGCUUGUUGUGGGGUAACGGCCUACCAAGGCAACGACGGGUAGCUGGUUUGAGAGAACGAUCAGCCACACUGGGACUGAGACACGGCCCAGACUCCUACGGAGGCAGCAGUGGGGAAUCUUGCGCAAUGGGCGAAAGCCUGACGCA